UACGAAGGGGGCUAGCGUUGUUCGGAUUUACUGGGCGUAAAGCGCACGUAGGCGGAUCGAUCAGUCAGGGGUGAAAUCCCAGGGCUCAACCCUGGAACUGCCUUUGAUACUGUCGAUCUGGAGUAUGGAAGAGGUGAGUGGAACUGCGAGUGUAGAGGUGAAAUUCGUAGAUAUUCGCAAGAACACCAGUGGCGAAGGCGGCUCACUGGCCCGAUACUGACGCUGAGGCACGAAAGCGUGGGGAGCAAACAGGG
rnacentral:rRNA from 1 species